UGCUGCAAAAUAAAAUAUUUAUUGCAAAUUGCAUCCAAGGCUUAUGUUUUUCGUAAUUUUUAUUUUUGUAUGUUUUGAGUUAUUUGUAAUACAAUAUUCUUUUAAAGUUUAACAAUCUUUUAGGUUACCAAUCAUUCAGUUUUAGUAAACUGAUUUCUUCAACCAGCCUGCUACAGCCAUCCUAAGGUUUCAUUGUUUGUUCUUACCCAAAAUUAAAUUCUUUGUUGGUGCUCCAAGGACAAUUCUUUUUGCAAAUGGUCUCUUAUAGAAGUUUUAUACAUAAUAAAAAUAUAUACAUAAAAUAGAUAAAUUGCUAUAUGGAAUGUACUUAAUUAGACAUAAGAAUAUGCAAUGGAUGUCUAAGCAUUCAGCACAAAAUAAAAAACUUGUAUACUAUAACAUAUGUAAAUUGAUUAAAUCUAAAAGUAUCUAUAAAAAAUUUUUCGUAAAUAAAAAAAAGAAAAACAAACACUGAUACAAGAAUAUGUGCCUAUAGGACACCAUGAUCCACUCACACUACAUUAUUUUCAUGUUCAGUAAACCAUGAAAUCUUGGUCAAACCCCCCAAUUUGGCAUAUUUAUCAAAUAGUUAAUUUCAUAAUAAACAUGUGAACCAAGUUUCCAGUUGAUGUGACCACACUACCCUCAACCAAAAUCUUAGCCUACCUUUAAAUCAAAACAUAUCACAUUUCCAUGUUCAGUGAGCCAUAAAAAAAACCAAUUUGAGAAAUAUAUUAAAUAUUUUACUUCAUAAUGAACAUGUGUCUCAAGUUUCAUGCCGAUGUGACCACAAACUGCCAAAACUUUUA